rnacentral:rRNA from 1 species
UACGUAGGCAGCAAGCGUUGUUCGGAAUUACUGGGCGUAAAGAGUGUGUAGGCGGUGCUCUAAGUCUGUUGUGAAAUCUCCCGGCUUAACUGGGAGGGUGCGGCGGAAACUGGAGUGCUAGAGGGUGGGAGAGGAAAGCGGAAUUCCUGGUGUAGCGGUGAAAUGCGUAGAUAUCAGGAGGAACACCUGCGGUGUAGACAGCUUUCUGGACCACUUCUGACGCUGAGACACGAAAGCGUGGGUAGCAAACAGG